AGGGGCUUAGGCUUAACCAAACCAAGGGCCUUCAAAGCCCUAAUUGGGGGUGAAACUCCCUCAGCCCCUG
rnacentral:tRNA from 1 species